CAAUAGCAUAUAUUAACGUUGUUGCAGUUGAAAAGCUCGUAGUUGAACUUUUGGUAGGAGCGACCUGGCCUUGGGCGCAUGCCCUUGUUUGCCGUGUGUCGUGUCUGGCCAUCCUUUUCCGUUUCGGCGGGAAUCUUUUACUGUGAGUAAACUGGAGUGCUCAAAACAAGACGUUUGUUUGGUACAUUAAAGCAUGGAAUAAUAAGAUAGGACCUGGUUACUAUUUUGUUGGUUUGCAUAGCUAGGUAAUGAUUAACAGGGACAGUUGGGGUAUUCGUAUUUAAUUGUCAGAGGUGAAAUUCUUGGAUUUAUGAAAGACGAACGACUGCGAAAGCAUUUACCAAGGAUGUUUUCAUUAA
rnacentral:rRNA from 1 species